CAAUAGCGUAUAUUAAAGUUGUUGCGGUAAAAAAGCUCGUAGUUGGAUUUCUACCGAAGAUAGCCAGUCGGGUCUUCGACCUUGUAUCUGGUUUUGUCUUUGGUAUCCUCAUAGGGAACGUUUCUGCGCUUUAUUGCGUGGUGCGGUAUCUAUGACUUUUACUUUGAGGAAAUUAGAGUGUUCACGGCAGGCAAACGCCUUGAAUAUAUUAGCAUGGAAUAAUAACAUAGGAUCUUCGUCCUAUUUUGUUGGUUUCUAGGGCUAAGAUAAUGAUUAAUAGGGAUAAUUGGGGGCAUCUGUAUCAACGCGUCAGAGGUGGAAUUCUUGGAUUGCGUUGCGACAAACUACUGCGAAAGCAUUUGCCAAGGAUGUUUUCAUUGA
rnacentral:rRNA from 1 species